UACGGAGGGGGCUAGCGUUGUUCGGAAUUACUGGGCGUAAAGCGCACGUAGGCGGCUUUUUAAGUCAGAGGUGAAAGCCCGGAGCUCAACUCGGAAUUGCCUUUGAGACUGGAUCGCUUGAACGUCGGAGAGGUGAGUGGAAUUCCGAGUGUAGAGGUGAAAUUCGUAGAUAUUCGGAAGAACACCAGUGGCGAAGGCGGCUCACUGGACGACUGUUGACGCUGAGGUGCGAAAGCGGUGGGGAG
rnacentral:rRNA from 1 species